UGGCGGACGGGUGAGUAACGCGUGAGUAACCUGCCCUUAGGAAAGGGAUAGCGUCUGGAAACGGACGGUAAUACCAUAUAAAGUAUAUUAACGGCAUCGUAGAUAUACCAAAGCUGAGGCGCCUAAGGAUGGACUCGCGUCUGAUUAGAUAGUUGGUGGGGUAACGGCCUACCAAGUCGACGAUCAGUAGCCGGCCUGAGAGGGUGAACGGCCACAUUGGGACUGAGACACGGCCCAAACUCCUACGGAAGGCAGCAG
rnacentral:rRNA from 1 species